rnacentral:rRNA from 1 species
UACGGGGGGGGCAAGCGUUGUUCGGAAUUACUGGGCGUAAAGGGCUCGUAGGCGGCCCACUAAGUCCGACGUGAAAUCCCCAGGCUUAACUCGGGAACUGCGUCGGAUACUGGUGGGCUUGAAUCCGGGAGAGGGAUGCGGAAUUCCAGGUGUAGCGGUGAAAUGCGUAGAUAUCUGGAGGAACACCGGUGGCGAAGGCGGCAUCCUGGACCGGCAUUGACGCUGAGGAGCGAAAGCCAGGGGAGCAAACGGG